rnacentral:rRNA from 1 species
AUGGGCGUGCGGUUGAUUAGGUAGUUGGCGGGGUAACGGCCCACCAAGCCAACGAUCAAUAGCUGAUGUGAGAGCAUGAUCAGCCACACGGGCACUGAGACACGGGCCCGACUCCUACGGGAGGCAGCAGUAAGGAAUAUUGGGCAAUGGACGCAAGUCUGACCCAGCCAUGCCGCGUGAAGGAUGACGGCCCUACGGGUUGUAAACUUCUUUUCUCUGGGGCGAAAACCUCCCAUUCUUGGGAAUUUGACAGUACCAGAGGAAUAAGCACCGGCUAACUCCGUGCCAGCAGCCGCGGUAAUACGGAGGGUGCAAGCGUUAUCCGGAUUCACUGGGGUUUAAAGGGUGCGUAGGUGGGUCUGUAAGUCAGUGGUGAAAUCCCCGAGCUCAACUUGGGAACUGCCGUUGAUACUAUACGUCUUGAAUGUCGUGGAGGUAA